rnacentral:rRNA from 1 species
AACGAACGCUGGCGGCAUGCCUAACACAUGCAAGUCGAACGAGACCUUCGGGUCUAGUGGCGCACGGGUGCGUAACGCGUGGGAACCUGCCCUUAGGUUCGGAAUAACUCCCCGAAAGGGGUGCUAAUACCGGAUAAUGUCUUCGGACCAAAGAUUUAUCGCCUUUGGAUGGGCCCGCGUUGGAUUAGCUAGUUGGUAGGGUAAAAGCCUACCAAGGCGACGAUCCAUAGCUGGUCUGAGAGGAUGAUCAGCCACACUGGGACUGAGACACGGCCCAGACUACUACGCGAGGCAGCAGUGGGGAAUAUUGCACAAUGGGCGAAAGCCUGACACAGCCAUGCCGCGGGAAUGAUGAAGGCCUUAGGGUGGUAAAACUCUUUUACCGGGGACGAUAAUGACGGUACCGGGAGAAGAAGCCCCGGCUAACUUCGUG